CCUCCGGAGGGCUCCCCACCCCGGACGCCCCGCCGGGCAAAGGGGGGACAGGGGCAGCGCGCGCGGAGGGGCGGCCGGGGGGGCUGCCUUUGCCCCCCUCCCUUUCCCCCGGCCGAGGGGUCGCGCAAGAAAGCCCCCCCUCCCCAGCCCAGAAACAGAGCUGACCGACAACGACGGCCCUGCAAGGACAGAGCAGCUGAAGGCAGGGAGGAGGAGGUGGAGGCUCCGAAGGGACGGGAGACUUUGGCCCAAGAAAUCCGGGGAAUGCUAUCUUGGAAUGCAACACAAAUUUUGAGGAGGGAUUCAGCUGAACCUUCAACUUUGCUCAAAUGGAUUCCUUGAAUUUCUCCGCCUUUUGGACGAGCAAGGGAAAAAAACAUCGUUUGAAGC